AUUGAACGCUGGCGGCAUGCCUUACACAUGCAAGUCGAACGGUAACGGGCCUUCGGGUGCCGACGAGUGGCGAACGGGUGAGUAAUGUAUCGGAACGUACCUUUCAGUGGGGGAUAACGUAGCGAAAGUUACGCUAAUACCGCAUAUUCUGUGAGCAGGAAAGCAGGGGAUCGCAAGACCUUGCGCUGAUUGAGCGGCCGAUAUCAGAUUAGCUAGUUGGUGAGGUAAAGGCUCACCAAGGCGACGAUCUGUAGCGGGUCUGGGAGGAUGAUCCGCCAAACUGGAACUGAGACACGGUCCAGACUCCUACGGGAGGCAGCAGUGGGGAAUUUUGGACAAUGGGGGAAACCCUGAUCCAGCCAUGCCGCGUGAGUGAAGAAAGCCUUCGGGUUGUAAAGCUCUUUCGGCCGGGAAGAAAUCGUAUCAGCUAAUACCUGGUGCGGAUGACGGUACCGGCAUAAGAAGCACCGGCUAACUACGUGCCAGCAGCCGCAGUAACAC
rnacentral:rRNA from 1 species